rnacentral:rRNA from 1 species
UGGGGAAUCUUGCACAAUGGGCGAAAGCCUGAUGCAGCGACGCCGCGUGCGGGAUGAAGGCCUUCGGGUUGUAAACCGCUUUCAGCAGGGACGAGGCCGCAAGGUGACGGUACCUGCAGAAUAAGCCCCGGCUAACUACGUGCCAGCAGCCGCGGUAAUACGUAGGGGGCAAGCGUUAUCCGGAUUCAUUGGGCGUAAAGCGCGCGUAGGCGGUUUGUUAGGUCAGGAGUUAAAUCUGGGGGCUCAACCCCUAUCCGCUCCUGAUACCGGCAGGCUUGAGUCUGGUAGGGGAAGGCGGAAUUCCAAGUGUAGCGGUGAAAUGCGCAGAUAUUUGGAAGAACACCGGUGGCGAAGGCGGCCUUCUGGGCCACGACUGACGCUGAGGCGCGAAAGCUAGGGGAGCGAACAGG